UGAAGUAAGAGCUAGAUGUGAAGGAAUGAGAGGAAGAGAUGGACAGGCGGCUCAGAUGAGAUCAGGGCCACGUUGGUUGACCAUGUGCUCAACCAUGGAUUGGGUAUGAGGGAGGCUGGACAUAGUUCAACCCAACCUGAGCCGCUACAUGGUUGCAUCUAUCAUCCGACCAUCCAGAAAUGAGAACUGAACUGAGAGACGGCCAGGUCAUGGUGGAAGACACCGGCUGUUCACACCAGAACAGGAGACCGCCAUUGUGAACAUGGUGGUGGCAAACGACACAAUCAGACUAGGAGAAAUCCAGAACCACAUAAUUGCAGACAAACACAAUAUUCAAUAACAUUCACCAGGUGGGCUUGUCUACAUUGGACUGUGUAUUACAGCGCAACCGAAUCUGGAUGAAACAGGUUUACAGGGGAGCCAUUUGAGCAAAAAGUCAGAGGGUUAAAGAACAGCGCUAUGAACAUGUGCAAAGAGUCUUGGAGCUGGAUGCCACUGCAUCAGCAUUUGUAUAUUUACUUUUAGGCUUGCUUCAACCGAGCCAAAAAAAGGGGAUGGAACAUUAUUGGCCACCAUGCCAUUGUUAAUAUCCCUGGACAGCGUCGAGGGAAUCUCACCAUGUGCGCAGCCUUUGGCCAGCAAGGCGUCCUCCAUCGCCAUGCCAACCAUGGUCCCUACAACACCGCCUUUCUCAUCACAUUCCUGGACACACUACAUGGUAUCCUCAUUCUAGCCGAGCAGAGGGGUGGGCCAGUACAGCCCAGGUAUGUUGUCAUUUGGGACAAUGUGAGUUUCCAACGGGCUGCUCUGGUCCGCAACUGGUUCAUCGACCACCCACAAGUUAUUGUUCUAUACCUCCCACCAUAUUCCCCAUUCCUAAACACAAUUGAAGCGUUUUAUUACCCGGCAUGGCGAUGGAAGGUGUAUGACCGACAUCCCCUCGCACGCACACUUCUUCUCCAGGCAAUGGUGGAUUGCAUGUGUUGGAGUUGAUGUGGGGACUUUCGGCGGCUGGAGCCGUCACUCCAGGAGGUUCCUUCCAAGCUGUUUAGCCAGGGAGAAACAUUGCUUGUGAUGUAAAUGAGGUGCUGUGGCCAGACCAAACUAGAAGGCAGGAUGCAGCCUAAUGUGUUUUUUACUUACAUUUUGCAUUUGUUUUUGUCUGUGUUUUGAAAGAAUGAGCCACUUUUUAAAAAUACAUUUUUGUACAGAAAACCCUUUAUCUUACUGAAUGUUUUUCCAGGUUUUCUCUUGUUGGGUAUGGAAAGUGUUAGAUACAAAAUGCAGCAUUUUGGAAAUGUUUGUUACUGUAUUGCAUUUGUGUGUUUAUGUAUAUUUGAGUAGAUUAUUACAGUAAUCUUUUACAACUGGCUACAGUGUAACACUGCAAAUACAAAUGGCAUAAACCUA